rnacentral:tRNA from 1 species
GUUGAUAUAGCUCAGUUGGUUGAGCAUAGGACUGAAAAUCCUCACGCGGCCGGCUCGAAUCCGGUUAUCAACA